UACGUAGGUGGCAAGCGUUGUCCGGAAUUACUGGCGUAAAGGGCGCGUAGGCGGCCAGCACAAGUCAGUUGUGAAAUCUCCGAGCUUAACUCGGAAAGGUCAACUGAUACUGUGCGGCUAGAGUGCAGAAGGGGCAACUGGAAUUCUUGGUGUAGCGGUGAAAUGCGUAGAUAUCAAGAGGAACACCUGCGGCGAAGGCGGGUUGCUGGGCUGACACUGACGCUGAUGCGCGAAAGCCAGGGGAGCGAACGGG
rnacentral:rRNA from 1 species